rnacentral:rRNA from 1 species
UACGGAGGGUGCAAGCGUUGUUCGGAAUUACUGGGCGUAAAGGGCGCGUAGGCGGUAAUGUAAGUCAGAUGUGAAAUCCUUCGGCUCAACCGAAGAACUGCAUCUGAAACUUCAUAGCUCGAGUACAGGAGAGGGAAACGGAAUUCCCGGUGUAGAGGUGAAAUUCGUAGAUAUCGGGAGGAACACCAGUGGCGAAGGCGGUUUCCUGGCCUGAUACUGACGCUGAGGCGCGAAAGCGUGGGGAGCAAACAGG